UACGUAGGGACCAAGCGUUGUUCGGAUUUACUGGGCGUAAAGGGCGCGUAGGCGGCAAUUCAAGUCAGCUGUGAAAUCUCCGGGCUUAACUCGGAACGGUCAGCUGAUACUGCUUUGCUAGAGUGCAGAAGGGGCAAUCGGAAUUCUUGGUGUAGCGGUGAAAUGCGUAGAUAUCAGGAGGAACACCGAUGGCGAAGGCAGUUCUCUGGGCCGUAACUGACGCUGAGGAGCGAAAGCGUGGGGAGCGAACAGG
rnacentral:rRNA from 1 species